UUAAAACUUUCAACAACGGAUCUCUUGGUUCCCACAUCGAUGAAGAACGCAGCGAAAUGCGAUAAGUAAUGUGAAUUGCAGAAUUCAGUGAAUCAUCGAAUCUUUGAACGCACAUUGCGCCCCCUGGUAUUCCGGGGGGCAUGCCUGUUCGAGCGUCA
rnacentral:rRNA from 1 species